AUUCCAGACUCCUACGGGAGGCAGCAGUGGGGAAUAUUGGGCAAUGGGCGCAAGCCUGACCCAGCAACGCCGCGUGAAGGAAGAAGGCUUUCGGGUUGUAAACUUCUUUUCUGGGGGACGAAGAAAGUGACGGUACCCCAGGAAUAAGCCACGGCUAACUACGUGCCAGCAGCCGCGGUAAUACGGAGGAUCCGAGUGUUAUCCGGAUUUAUUGGGUUUAAAGGGUGCGUAGGCUGUGAGGUAAGUCAGCGGUGAAAUGCCCCCGCUCAACGGGGUGAAGUGCCAUUGAUACUGCCUUGCUGGAAUGCGGAUGCCGUGGGAGGAAUGUGUGGUGUAGCGGUGAAAUGCAUAGAUAUCACACAGAACACCGAUUGCGAAGGCAUCUCACGAAGCCGCGAUUGACGCUGAUGCACGAAAGCGUGGGUAUCAAACAGGAUUAGAUACCCGUGUAC
rnacentral:rRNA from 1 species